rnacentral:rRNA from 1 species
UACGAAGGGUGCAAGCGUUGUUCGGAUUUAUUGGGCGUAAAGCGCGCGCAGGCGGAUUGAUAAGUCAUGUGUGAAAUCUCGAGGCUUAACCUCGAAAUUGCGCCUGAAACUGUCGAUCUAGAAUUCUGGAGAGGGAAGGGGAAUUUCUCAUGUAGGGGUAAAAUCCGUAGAGAUGAGAAGGAACACCAGAGGCGAAGGCGCCUUCCUGGACAGAUAUUGACGCUGAGGCGCGAAAGCGUGGGGAGCAAACAGG